CACGUAGGGUGCGAGCGUUGUCCGGAAUUAUUGGGCGUAAAGAGCUCGUAGGCGGUGUGUCGCGUCGGCCGUGAAAACCUGCAGCUUAACUGUGGCUUGCGGUCGAUACGGGCAUCACUGGAGUUCGGCAGGGAGACUGGAAUUCGUGGUGAUAGCGGUGAAAUGCGCAGAUAUCAGGAGGAACACCGGUGGCGAAGGCGGGUCUCUGGG
rnacentral:rRNA from 1 species